AGUGAAGCGGCAAAAGCUCAAAUUUGAAAUCUAGCACCUUCGGUGUUCGAGUUGUAAUUUGAAGAUGGUAACCUUGGGUUUGGCUCUUGUCUAUGUUCCUUGGAACAGGACGUCAUAAAGGGUGAGAAUCCCGUCUGAUGAGAUGCCCAUUCCUAUGUGGGGGCUAUCGAAGAGUCGAGUUGUUUGGU
rnacentral:rRNA from 1 species